GCAGUCGAGCGGCAGCACAAGUGAGUUUACUCACUGAGGUGGCGAGCGGCGGACGGGUGAGUAAUGCCUAGGGAUCUGCCCAGUCGAGGGGGAUAACAGUUGGAAACGACUGCUAAUACCGCAUACGCCCUACGGGGGAAAGAGGGGGACUUUCGGGCCUCUCGCGAUUGGAUGAACCUAGGUGGGAUUAGCUAGUUGGUGAGGUAAUGGCUCACCAAGGCGACGAUCCCUAGCUGUUCUGAGAGGAUGAUCAGCCACACUGGGACUGAGACACGGCCCAGACUCCUACGGGAGGCAGCAGUGGGGAAUAUUGCACAAUGGGGGAAACCCUGAUGCAGCCAUGCCGCGUGUGUGAAGAAGGCCUUCGGGUUGUAAAGCACUUUCAGUAGGGAGGAAAGGGUAAGUCUUAAUACGGCUUAUCUGUGACGUUACCUACAGAAGAAGGACCGGCUAACUCCGUGCCAGCAGCCGCGGUAAUACGGAGGGUCCGAGCGUUAAUCGGAAUUACUGGGCGUAAAGCGUGCGCAGGCGGUUUGUUAAGCGAGAUGUGAAAGCCCUGGGCUCAACCUAGGAAUAGCAUUUCGAACUGACAAACUAGAGUCUUGUAGAGGGGGGUAGAAUUCCAGGUGUAGCGGUGAAAUGCGUAGAGAUCUGGAGGAAUACCGGUGGCGAAGGCGGCCCCCUGGACAAAGACUGACGCUCAUGCACGAAAGCGUGGGGAGCAAACAGG
rnacentral:rRNA from 1 species